UACGUAGGGUGCAAGCGUUGUCCGGAAUUAUUGGGCGUAAAGAGCUCGUAGGUGGCCUGUCACGUCGGCUGUGAAAACCCGGGGCUCAACCCCGGGCCUGCAGUCGAUACGGGCAGGCUAGAGUUCGGCAGGGGAGACUGGAAUUCCUGGUGUAGCGGUGAAAUGCGCAGAUAUCAGGAGGAACACCGGUGGCGAAGGCGGGUCUCUGGGCCGACACUGACGCUGAGGAGCGAAAGCGUGGGGAGCGAACAGG
rnacentral:rRNA from 1 species